UACGUAGGGGCUAGCGUUAUCCGGAAUUACUGGGCGUAAAGGGUGCGUAGGUGGUUUCUUAAGUCAGAGGUGAAAGGCUACGGCUCAACCGUAGUAAGCCUUUGAAACUGGGAAACUUGAGUGCAGGAGAGGAGAGUGGAAUUCCUAGUGUAGCGGUGAAAUGCGUAGAUAUUAGGAGGAACACCAGUGGCGAAGGCGGCUUUCUGGACAGUAACUGACGCUGAGGCGCGAAAGCGUGGGUAGCGAACAGGAUUAGAUACCCUGUAGUCCCUGAGCGGG
rnacentral:rRNA from 1 species